UACGUAGGGAGCAAGCGUUGUCCGGAAUCAUUGGGCGUAAAGCGCGCGUAGGUGGCUUCGUAAGUCCGUUGUGAAAGUCAAAGGCUCGACCUUUGAAAGCCGAUGGAUACUGUGAAGCUAGAGUACGGAAGAGGCGAGUGGAAUUCCUGGUGUAGCGGUGGAAUGCGCAGAUAUCAGGAGGAACACCAAUAGCGAAGGCAGCUCGCUGGGACGUUACUGACACUGAGGCGCGAAAGCGUGGGGAGCGAACAGG
rnacentral:rRNA from 1 species